rnacentral:rRNA from 1 species
UACAGAGGUCUCAAGCGUUGUUCGGAUUCAUUGGGCGUAAAGGGUGCGUAGGCGGCGCGGUAAGUCGGGUGUGAAAUCUCGGAGCUUAACUCCGAAACUGCAUUCGAUACUGCCGUGCUUGAGGACUGGAGAGGAGACUGGAAUUUACGGUGUAGCGGUGAAAUGCGUAGAUAUCGUAAGGAAGACCAGUGGCGAAGGCGGGUCUCUGGACAGUUCCUGACGCUGAGACACGAAAGCGUGGGUAGCAAACAGG